UACAGAGGAUGCAAGUGUUAUCCGGAAUUAUUGGGCGUAAAGCGUUUGUAGGUGGAUUUUUAAGUCUUAUGUUAAAUAUCUAAACUCAAUUUAGAAAAGCAUACGAAACUAAAUAUCUUGAGUAUUAUAGAGGUAAAGGGAAUUUUCGGUGUAGCGGUGAAAUGCGUAGAUAUUGAGAAGAACACCAAAGGCGAAAGCACUUUACUGGAUUAGUACUGACACUGAGAAACGAAAGCUAGGGGAGCAAACAGGAUUAGAACCGUACGGUC
rnacentral:rRNA from 1 species